GUUUUUCUGUGUUUUCUUUUCUGCUUCAGUUACAGAGGAUAAUCUCUACCAGAAAACACGGGGUAUGAAGUUAGAUCUGUCUGGAAGCACAAGCAAAUCUGAAUCCAAGGAUGGAGGGUAGGUUCUGGGCUCCCAGACCACAGGAGAAGAUGAAGACAGCACACCGUGAGCCCUGGACCACACUCUUUGGAACGGCUGUAUCUAAGGAGAGAUUGCUCUCUGCCUCAGACACUAUCGCAAGAUAAUUAACAGAACCACUGCUGGAGACCGAUGAUAGCACAGGCAGCAGCUGAUACCUGUGGC